rnacentral:misc_RNA from 1 species
UACGUAGGGUCCGAGCGUUGUCCGGAAUUAUUGGGCGUAAAGAGCUCGUAGGCGGCCCUCUAAGUCGGAUGUGAAAUCUCAGGGCUUAACCCUGAAACCGCAUCCGAUACUGGGGGGCUUGAGGCAGGUAGAGGAAGGUGGAAUUCCUGGUGUAGCGGUGAAAUGCGCAGAUAUCAGGAGGAACACCAGUGGCGAAGGCGGCCUUCUGGGCCUGGCCUGACGCUGAGGAGCGAAAGCGUGGGGAGCGAACAGG